GUGCUCGCUUCGGCCUCACAUAUACUAAAAUUCAAAUGAUACAGAGAAGAGUAGCAUGGCCCCUGCACAAGGAUGACACGCAAAUUCAUGAAGUGUUCCAUAUUAUU
ensembl:snRNA U6 U6 spliceosomal RNA